rnacentral:rRNA from 1 species
UGAAUACGAGACGCUAAGGCGUCGAAGUAGUGUAUGUCAUACUUCCAAGAAAAGCUUGCACUGUCAUAAGUAAAAAAUGCCUGUACCAUAACCGACACAGGUGGGUAGGUAGAGUAUACUAAGGGGCGCGAGAUAACUCUCUCUAAGGAACUCGGCAAAAUAACUCCGUAACUUCGGGAGAAGGAGUACCUUAUUCUAUAAGGUUGCAAUAACAAGAUCCAAGCAACUGUUUAUCAAAAACACAGGUCUCCGCUAAGUCGUAAGACGAUGUAUGGGGGCUGACGCCUGCCCAGUGCCAGAAGGUUAAAGAAGUCGGUUAGCAUUAGCGAAGCUGGUAACUGAAGCCCUGGUGAACGGCGGCCGUAACAAUAACGGUCCUAAGGUAGCGAAAUUCCUUGUCGGGUAAGUUCCGACCCGCACGAAAGGCGUAAUGAUUUGGAUACUGUCUCGGAGAGGGGCUCGGUGAAAUAGACUUGUCUGUGAAGAUGCGGACUACCUGCACCAGGACAGAAAGACCCUAUGAAGCUUUACUGUAACUUGAAAUUGAAAUUGGACUUUAUUCGCGCAGUAUAGGUGGGAGGUGUUGAUUAUAAUCUUGCGGGAUUAUUGGAGCCAUCAGUGAGAUACCACUCUUGUAAUGUUAGAUUUCUAACUUUGAAUCAUUAUCUGGUCAAAGGACAGCUUCAGGCGGGCAGUUUGACUGGGGCGGUCGCCUCCCAAACGGUAACGGAGGCGUACAAAGGUUUCCUCUGAACGGGUAGAAAUCGUAUCUAGAGUGUAAAGGCAUAAGGAAGCUUGACUGUGAGACCUACAAGUCGAACAGGGACGAAAGUCGGUCUUAGUGAUCUGACGGUACUGAGUGGAAAGGCCGUCACUCAACGGAUAAAAGUUACUCUAGGAUAACAGGCUGAUCUCCCCCAAGAGUUCACAUCGACGGGGAGGUUUGGCACCUCGAUGUCGGCUCAUCGCAUCCUGGGGCGGUAGUACGUCCCAAGGGUUGGGCUGUUCGCCCAUGAAAGCGGUACGCGAGCUGGGUUCAGAACGUCGUGAGACAGUUCGGUCCAUAUCCGGUGUAGGCGUUAGAAUAUUGAGAGGAGCCUUCUUUAGUACGAGAGGACCGAGAAGGACAUACCUCUGGUGUACCAGUUAUCGUGCCAACGGUAAACGCUGGGUAGCUAUGUAUGGAGUGGAUAACCGCUGAAAGCAUCUAAGUGGGAAGCCCACCUCAAGAUAAGUAUUCUCAU